ensembl:lncRNA
GUUAAUUAAAAAAUCGUUAUUUAUUCACUUUUCAGUCCUGAACACAGACCUGCUGACAUGUUGAGAAGCAACUGAUAAAUUUGUAAAAGUUUACUUUGCUUUUUUUUUUAGUCGGCUAAAACACCUGAAGCUUAACCUACUUUGUGACACGUUUUAUUGUUUUAUUUGUUUAUAUAUUUGUUCACGAUUUAAUUUAUUUCUGUAUUGACCACAACUGAUGACGUUCUAUCAGCGCCAUCUGGUGGAGACUAAUAACAAGCAAAGGUUCCUUCUUGUUCUUAAACAUGAGUGUUUCCUAAAGUAGCGCCCCUACAGGUGGCAAGAGACAACACAGGAAGAUAACAUGAGAUUGCCUAAAAGUCACUAUUUUGAUGGAGCUCAAAACAUCUAUAGGUGAAGGAGCAUUUCUCUGGAAAAAAAGACUGAAAUUACAAUUUCUGACCCGUGUCUAUGUUGAGGAGACAAAUUUUCUUACUUGUUGAGAUCAAGUAAUUUAAAAUAAAGCCUUUGUUGGAUAGGAACACGUUUGGAAUGAGCACAAGGAUGACCUGUUACACCUACUCUCCUAAGUGAAAGUAUUUAAGAUUCCUAAGAGUUUCUCCAGGACAGCAAGAGUAGUAGCUGAAUGAAAACAGUGAUUGAGUGAGUAAAAUGAGUGGAAGACUGAUCAACAGGAACGCCCUGUGGUAGCUGGGAUUGGAUAAGUUAAAGAAAUUGUCUGUAUGGAUAGAUGGAAGCUAGCAUGAAGCCAGGUUAGUCUGGCUAGUUUUUUUUAUUUAUUUUUUGUUAUUUAUUUAUUUUUUAAAUGUAGUCUUUGCACAAAUGUAAAGACUCUCAAUGGGAGAUAAAAUUGGUGCAAUAACAUCUGGAGAAAAAAAACCCAUUUACAAUAUAAAUAUGUGAAGGCCAUUCUAAUGCCUUUUUUUCAUUUUCUUUUCUGGCAACACUUUAACAUACAUGAGGCUUGCUUGGUACAAAAAAACAAAACACAUUCAUUAAAAGGAUAGAAACUGGGUCACAUUUUCACAUAUCAAAGCAGCAUCUUUACAUGAAGCAUUCAGUAGUUCUAAAGAUGAGGAAAAAGAUGGUUCCUCAAGCCAUUUACACUUAUGGAUGUGCUAUUUGCCCAUAAUUAUUAGAACGUUGUAAAGCAUGACAAGUUCCUUAGAGUCAGUGGGGUCAUCCCAACUAUUCUUACGCUCAUCCAGUUUACCAAAUCCUGCAGGAAGCUAGUCAUUACUGAACAGGAAAAAAACACCUGGUCAAUACUUUCUUCUUCUUGUAAACAAAAUGGGUCCACCUCAAACCCAAACCUUUCUUUAAGGCUUUCUGCUGCUGGGUAAUAUCCAUUGAUUAUUUUAAAUGACAUUUCUUUAACUUUGGGGGGGGGGGAUAGGAUAGGUUUCAAAAAUGUGUUUAUUUGUUUGUUAUUUUAAUAUUACUCCAUUUUUAUAUUGUGUUAUUGUUAAAAUUGUAAAAUAUAUUUUCAAACAUUUUAUUUAUGAUUUUAUAACCACACUUUAGUUUAAUGAAUCUUAUUUAACUGUAAAGAGGGUAAACUGGUUUGUCCUUUAGAGUGAUUUAAAUGAUUUUGUAUCAAACUCAACAGAGAUAAAGGGAUUGCAUUAAAAACUUUAUUAUAUUCUCUACGGGAACACUGAAUAUUAAACUGGACAGUAAAGUAAAGUAAAUCUGUUAUAAAGAUGUUUUUUUUUUUUUUUUUUUCCCAUUCGACUCUUUAAUGAAUAAUGACUUCCUAUUAAUUGUAAUGGUCCUGUUAUUCCACAAGGUGGAGCCAUGUGGCGUGAAGUUAUGGGCUUAUGAAAUCCUGACAGGAUAUCAUAAGCAAAGCAUAAGGAUAUCUUGACAGGCAACUUCAAUAUAUCAAAAUGAUUAGUCUGGCUAGUUAGCUUAUUGAGAAUGUUAACUGGUUACAUUAGUAUAGCUAGUCGUGUGGCGUAAUAAGUUUUAUUGUGAAAGGUUUAACACGAAGUGAACGUCGGGUGAAGCGGCAGCUAAAGAGAGAAAUAGUUCGUGGGGAUUAGUGAUGGUAAAUUUGAUUCUUUUUACUGAAUCGAGUUUUAAAGAGUCACUCACCAAAGUGAAUCGGGUUUUUUGAGUCAUUUGAUUCACUGAGUCAGUCGACCAGAGUGUGCAAAAAAUUUACAUUUUCACUCAAACUUAAUUUGUUUCUCUUUUCAUGUAAAUCCUACUGCUAAGAUGAAUGAUUCUAAAAGAAAACAACUAUUUUAUAGAGCAAAAAAGAGCAAAAACAUUUAUAAAAUUAAGCAAUUUUCUAUCAAAAUUUUAUUUUAAUAUAUUUUUAUUUAUUUAUUUUAUUAGUAUUUUCCUUAAAUGUGUUAAAUAUACAUUUUCUCAUCUAAAUGUCCACUGAGCUGUGAGCCAGGGGGCGGUAAUGCGCCUUAACAUUGGUUGCCAACCAAGAAGAAGAAGAAGAAGCUGUGAGCCAGGAGGGAGGGGGUGAGCGAGCGAGUGAGUGAUUCGUUCGUUCUAUGAUUCAGCACAGGAGGGAGGGGGUGAGCGAGUCCUGAGUGAUUCGCACACGCUUACGAAUCAGCACAGGAGGGAGGGGGUUAGUGAGUCCUGAGUGAUUCGUUCGCUCUAUGAUUCAGCACAGGAGGGAGGGGCUGAGUAGCUCAAAUGUGCUGUUAGCAUGUUAGCAGAGCGAUGCUACUGUGAACCGAGGAGCUAUUUUCUUGAUGUGAGCUUCUACUCAGGGUUUUUUCUUCCAGUUCAGAGCAGAAUUUUUUUUUUUGUUACGAUACUGGAUGUUGUGUUUUUCUCCACAAUUUUAAUUAUAAGCUAGAUCAUUGCUGCUAACAGCAACAGGGAUGAGUCAGUGAGUCAGUUGGGCUUGUGAAUCACGAGUUAGUAAAGUGAUUCUCGAGUAUUGAACGAUUCGUUCAUGAUUCGCGCGUCACUAGCGGGGAUUUUGAAAGUACCAGUUUGAGUUGCUCUACAACAAUAAGAUGUCUGACGAAGAAGCGGAAGCUAGCGCGACAGCUACACAGCCUCGCACGCCACCGCCCCAAGCAAACACCGGGGGACAGGGGAAGAGGCCAUACGGCUAGAGAGUCGGCUACGAGAUUAGCUAA